UUUUGUCCAUGUGAAACCUAUCAGAUACCUAUUAGACAGGUAUCCAAGGUGAGUCCAGAGAUAUGUGUGCAGAGCUAGAACUGGAUAUAUGCACCUGGGACAGGAGCUAUAUGGGCAUGUCUGGGCUGGGGGAUAUACACCUGAGAGUCAUCAACCUGUAAAAGCUACCUAAAGCCUUAAGACUGGAAAAAUUCAUCGAAGGGGUGUAGACAAAGAACCCUCAGACCACUGGCAAGAAGUAGGUCACUAAAAAUGUUAUAAGUCUCACUUCAGUGAUAUGGUGGGGAGAAAAUCAACCAGACAGGUUGACAGAGAAUGGGGGAUAAAAAAGUAGAGAUAGAGGUAGGAUGUAUCAGAGUGUUUUUUUCUUUCUAAAGAUGGAUAAUAUUAAGACAUAUUUGUGGGGUAAUAUACGACAGGUUGAGUAUCCCUAACCAAAAACCCAAAAUCCAAAACUUUUUGAGUGCCAACGUGACAAGUGGAGGAUUCAACACCUGACUUCACAUGAUGAGUCACAGUCAAAACACAUUAAAAACGUUUUGUGCACAAAAUUAUUUAAAAUAUUAUAUAAAAUCACCUUCAGGCUAUGAGUAGAAUUUGUAUAUGAAACAUAAAUAAAUUUCAUGUUUAGACUGGGGUUUCAUUCCUAAGAUAUCUCACUAUGUAUAUGCAAAUAUUCUAAAAUCUGAAAAAAUCCUACAGGCAAAACACUUGAAGCAUUUCAGUUAAGGGAUGCUCAACCUGUACAAGGGAAAUGUACACCUGUCCUUGAAAAAUGAGAAGGAAUGGAGUCCAGGACAAAUGAAUGGAUGGCUUUUAAAAGAAAAGGGACACUUCUGCUGUAAUAAAAGGGAAGGCAUAUGAGCUAGAAUCGCACUCCAUGAGGACAUCUCAUGUUCCUAAAACAGUGCCUGGCACACAGAAGAUACUCAAUAAAAAUCUACCAAAAAGUGGCUGUGAUCAUUGAAUGAGAAAAUGUAUACGAAGCAUUUAGCCUAACAUCUGGGAUGUCCUCCUCCUGGUUUGCUUUCUCUGAGGUAAAGACAUACGAGAUUUCUUUGUGAGACGUGGUCUGGCGGCAGAUUGCACACUUAAUGGAGCUUCUGUGAGAUCCCACGCUGUAUUGUUCAAUAAUUAUAGAAAUGCAUUCAUUACAGAAACAGUGACCACAGACAUUCUUGCUCUGUCGCCCAGACUGGAGUGCAAAUGAUGCGGUCUUGGCUCACUGAAACCUUGCAACCUCCACCUCCAGGAUUCAAGCAAUUUUCCUGCCUCAGCCUCUUGAGUAGCUGGGAUUACAAGCACCUGCUGCCACGACCAGCUAAUUUUUGUAUUUUUAGUAGAGAGGGGUUUCACCACAUUGACCAGACUGGUCUCGAACUCCUGACCUCAUGAUCCAUCCACUUCAGCCUGGGAUUACAGGUGUGAGCCACUGCGCCCAGCCAAAAAGAAAUGUUUAAGAAACCCCUUGUCCUAUUCGGGAAAAAUAAAAUAAUCCUCUCUGAAUCUCUGCAACAUACCAUGGAGACUUUUGCCCUCUUUGGCAAUGAGAGACGUAAGAGCAAUAGAUUUAGUCUAGGUGUAAGUUCUAAAAGCUAUGACAUCUUAUAAAUGUAGAUUUAACCGUUUUCAUCUGGUAAAAACAAUAAGAAAAACUGAGUGUCUUUUGAGUGACAAAGCUUCUAAAUCCUUAAGCUAUGUUUUUUUUAAGAUUUGGACAUGUAUGGAAAGAAAGUGCGUACCUGGCCCACUUGAGAUUCUUUGCUGGAUCAUCUAAGAUGCUCUUUGGAAAAGAACUCACAUUGAAAGAAGAGAAAAUUGAGGUACAUAAGCUUGGUUUUCAAACCACUAUUUUGCCUAUUAUCAGCUAAUACUAUUCCUACUGUUCUCUAGCUGCACCUCUGCCAGAGUCCACAGGAGUUGAGACUAAUGAAAUUGAAGAGCUGUUUUACUAGCAUUUUUGUAUGACACAGAGCAGCACUAUAUUGUACUUUAUGUACCUCUAGUGCCACUGGGGACUCUACUGGAAAGGAGUUUUGUGACUCACUAGAGCUCAAAAUGGACCAACUAAACAUCAAGACAGGUCCACCUACAUGUGCAAUGGAGAAGAAGCAACGAGAUACCUGGCACCUGAGCAUUAGGAGUGACAGGAAGCUGACUGACCCAAACAGAAGAGACAAAUGGCAAUGCCUCCAGGCGCAUCAGCUGCAUUUUGAAGAUGUUCCAAUGUCAACUGGUUACAUAGAGAAACUAUGGAAAAUACCGAAACAUCUUUAAAGGUGAAAAGAAAAACAUCUCUAUGUAGCCACCAGUUUUAUUAGUGCUCCUCUAUGGAAUCUCGCUCUGUCGCCCAGGCUGGAGUGCAGUGGCGCAAUCUCAGCUCACUGCAACCUCUGUCUCCCAGGUUCAAGCGAUUCUCCUGCCUCAGCCUCCUGGGAACUGGAUUACAGGCGUGUGCUACCAUUCCAGCUAAUUUUUUGUAUCUUUAGUAGAGACGAGGUUUCACCAUGUUGGCCAGGCUGGUCUCAAACCCCUCGGCCUCUCAAAGUGCUGGGAUUACAGGCGUGAGCCACCAUGCCCAGCCUGUGUUAUCUUCUUAAUGUUAGCAAUUUGCAUGAAACUUUUUAAUUUUUUUCUUCUUUUUAUCUUUCAGAAUAAGUGUUGGUAAUCAUAACAGUAAUAAUGAUCUUAAUAAUAUUAAUAGCAGCAAAAACCUAGAAAGUGCUUAAUACAUCAGAAACUACUCUAGCAUUUUACAUGUAUUAAUUCACACAAUCCUCAAGACAGCCCUAUACUAUAAAGUAGUGUUGACAUCAUUCUCAUUUUACUGAUGAUGCGAGGAAAGGUGAAUAACUUAAAUAAAGUCACAUAUCUAGAAAACAGUUGAGUCACGAUUCAAAAUUGGGCUGUCCAGUUCCAAAGUCUACCUUCUUAGUCGCCAUGCUAUAUCUAUAAUGAAUGUCUAACUUUUCAUUUUGUCUGAGAUUUACUGAUUCACUUAAGUAUAUGUUAUACCAGUUUCCAGAAGAAUUCAAAUCUAUAUCUUGUCCUCACUUGCCCUAUCCAAAUAUUUACUACUAUAUCUUGCCCCUAGAAGGUUCUCUGCCAACUAGCAAAAUAUGAAUUCCUGCAAUAAAAUGAAAUUAUAUUUAAUCAAUGACCCACCAAUUCAUCAGUGUCCAGUAUAAUACUCAGAUCAUAACUCAGAACAUGUGUUUUGAAUUACUUAAUAUUUGAAGUCUACCUUCAUUACCAUGUACUCUGAUUUAGUAGCUUUCCAAACACACUUCAGUUUCAAAUAACAAAUUACAACAUAUUUUUGUAUUGAUGAAUGAAUGCAUGUGUAUAAAUUGCAUUAUGCCAGUUUCACCGAGAUAUGUUUUAAUACUUUUACUAUUCAAGGCUUUGAACUACAGUCCAUUUACAUUGUUCUCUACUAUCGAGUGCAUGCCUUCUAUAUCAUCUGCAUAAUAAAUUUCUAUAGAUACAAUAUUCUUUUGUGAUCUCUGAAGCUAUUGUAGAGACAUAGGUAGUGUUCUGACUCAUAUAACACAAAAUACUAAUUACAACAAUUUGCACCAUUAAUUAUGAAAGGAGUCACUAAAGUGGUUUAUGAUAAUGCAGCAUAGGAAAAAGUAGCAUGUCUUAGAAACAAUACCUUCUCCAAAUUAGUUAGGUAAAGAAGCUGCCCAAGUUUUUUCUGAAGCUGUGAUGUAGCAACGGCUUUAUCAUUUAGUAGUUUUAUUCGGUUUUGUUCUACCUAAAGAAAAUAAAAAUAAAAACUUCUUUAUUCUUUCAGAAAGACAGUUAAAUUAUAUUAAAUAUGGACAAUUCUCCAGUAAUACAAAUGUAUUCUGUUUUUAAAAAAAACCUAUUUACAUUCUAAAACACAAGUUUUCAAAAUGGAUACUAGAUACUAUAUUUCAAAUGAUUUUUUUUUUUUUUUGCUUUAUGAAAGGCACAAUUCAAUGCAGAGUUCUUUUAAACAGGAAGUGUCCCUAUGUACCUGAAGUCAGAUAAAAAUAAACUCAAAUUCUAUUAUGUACCAUUUUUUUCAGUAAUACAUACACGGGAUAAAGAAAAGUUAAAUGAUUUGUUGCUCUGGCCUCAGUGAUUUCAUGAAAUCCAGGGAAGAAUUUCUCUGCCCUUCUUUCCUCUGUCCCCCUGGUAGAAUACAGCAGACAGAGAAGGAACACUCAAACAAGACGAAUUUAUUUUCUCAGAAAAACUUCUUCAGAAUUCACAUUUAAGUGAGAUAGUAUAUAAUGAAUAUAUCUAAAUUUUUCCAAGUUACAGUCUCCAAGCUGUACAGAAACAGACUUAAGGCACUAAACAAAUAAGGAAUAAAAAUGAAUUAUAAAGGAAAUAAUAUCUUUUAAUGGAGAAUAAAAGAGAUUUGUGGAGUGAUGUUUUUAAACCUGAGUUACAAAGACAAAGUUAUUAGAAGGUAAGUUGUUAAUAUUAGUUCAUCAUUAGCAAAAGAAACACUGCAAAAGAAAAGGUUUCAGUUGUUUUUAAGGAAGAUUUUUCUAGUUCUGAUAAAACUGAGGUGACAAAAAUGUCUAAAAAGUGACUGAGAAUAUCUAUUGGUCUUAAGCACAUACAAGGUUUUAAACUCAAAAACAGAUGAAUGUGCAACCUGGAGAGAAACAAGAUGCCCCAAAAUAGUGAACACUAAGCAUGUAAUAGAUAUGAAAUUGCUCAUCUUUGACCAUUUUUGGUCUACAAAGACAAUUUUCUAUGGGUCAAAUUAAAAAUGGAGAUUAAAUACACACUUAUAGUAGAGCUCAGUGCCCUGAUUCUGCCUUUUCUAUGGGUCUUAGAUAUCUGUGACAUCUGCUUGCUGUUCCCUUUUCUGUGAUUUACUUGCCAAUUACCUCAUGUGGCUCAAUGAUAUGAAGAACAGGCGGAUUAGGCUUUGGCUCCCUAGGAUCACGCACUCUUAGUCGUUCUGUAGCCAUUGCAAGUUCAUCAACAGCAGACACACGAUUCCUCAGAGCCAUCCAAUAUUCAUGAAGCAACUGAAGGAACAGAAAAGACAAACACAGUGGUAAAGCACGUAAUUAAAACUGGUUAAAACCACCAAGAUGUGCCUUAAGCAAAAGUCUUCAAUGAGAUCUUACACUUUUUCGCUAUGUGUCUAACGUACAAGUAGUUCCUGGGGUCAUUUUUAGGAUGAAAUGUGAACGAAAAAAAUCUCUAUAGGACACUGCCUCUUUAGAUUCUCAGUAACAGAAUAUAAAGAUUUCUUGCUAAGACCAAAAAUCUUUAUAAAGUCCAAUUUUAGGCUGACAGAAUCUCUUCUGCUUUAUUUUUUAAAAAUAGUUUUAUUAUAACAUAUUUCACAUAUUCAACUGUGUAUAAAUGGCAACAAGAAUACUAAAAUAUACAAUCAAGUACUCAUCAUCUAAUUGAAGAAAGAAUAAUAUGAAUUCCUUGGAAAGGCUCUGUGUGUUCUUUCUCAACUGUAUCACUCUUUCCUCACAUAUUCCUCCUUCAGUACCCAACCAUGGGGCAACCACUGUUCUGAAUUGUACUUAUCCUGCUACACUUUUCAUUAAACUUAUACUAUGUGAAACAUAUUCUUAAUAAUUCAGUUAUAUAUGUUUCUGAAAUUCACAGAAAUGGUAUCAAUCAGUAUACAUUUUUUGACAGGCUCUCUUCACUGACUUUACAUUUUGAGGUAGAUCUGGUAGAUAUGUACAGCAGGAGCUCAUUCAAUUGCUCUUCUGUGAAAAGGUCUGCAAAGUUAUGCAGAAAAUAUGUACCAAGACCUGGGAGAACUGCACAAUAAGCUCUCUUCUGGACAAAGGGUAUGUGGCCAAACUGAGUCGAAAGGAAGAAUACAGGGGCAACUGAACAUCAUAUGUAACACUUCUUCCAAGGCUUACUGUAAUUAACUAUGUUAACGUGCUUUGUAUUCACAUGAGUAAUGUGUGAGAAAAACAUUAUUAUAAACCAAUGAUUUUGAUGUUAUAAAUGUAUUCCCCAAUUUAUGACAAAUGAACUGAUAGUACAAAUAACUAUCUCUCUGCAUAAAAAUUUUUAUCCUACUUUAAAAAGCAAGACUUUUUAAAAAAGAAAUUGAAUAAAAAUGUCAUUAUAAAUAAAA